rnacentral:pre_miRNA from 13 species
ACUGCCACUGCCUACUGAUCUCCACCAGACCUCUGCCAGCUCGGCUGUGCUACCAAUCAACUCUGUGUAGCUUUGGUUGUGGUAGACAGGUAAUCACACA